rnacentral:pre_miRNA from 1 species
UAUUAAAAAUUACAUCUAUUUCUACAGUUAAAAAUUGGUCUCUGUAUGUCACCAUGAUGUACACAUGUAUGUAACAUGUCAUUAUCUGGUUAUUCCGCCAGGCACACGAGUUUUUAACAGUACUAAUAGAUGAAAUUUUUAACA